rnacentral:lncRNA from 1 species
GUCAGGUGAGCCACACCAAAUGUUGUAAUUAAAGUAUAAACAACACAAUUAUUAUGAAACAUCAUAGGAGGAGUGUGAGUAUCAGAGUAUUUAGCAACAUGAGACAAAAGGUAAUACAUUAGUAAUCGACUUAUUUUAGGAGGAGAGUAGUAGUAUAUGGUGAAGCUUUAACGUUAUCAGCAUUGCAUUCUAAAAGCUUGAAUACAAUUGUACAUAAGUUUAUCUAUUUAUAGGUGUGGAAGGUAUUUUGGACAAUUCAU